AUGCAGGCCUGGAGCACUUUGAAGACCCCUCACCCCUCUUUCUUCCAUAUCCUCUUUUCCACUAUUCAUUCAAGACAGGACAAAUCCGGGGUGGAUGGCAACGACCUGUGGCCGGGGGUACCAAAAAUGAAAGAGACACGGAGGACCCUUGGCUUCAAAGUGGCGGAGAAGCGACCGCGAGGAGGCUUCGUUCGGUUGAUCGAUGAAGGCGUCAGGCCGGCCCACCAUAAAGUCAAUGCAAUCGAUGCGGACGUCCACGACCGCUCGAAACAGAGACCUCUCCCCGUUGCUGCGCGCUCGCCGAGUUCCACGCAACAGGACUUGGAAUCCGACACCCGCAACGUCGCGCGCCGACUCGCUCUCCUGAGCUCCAGGUUCCACACCUGCGAAAUGGGUUUGCUACACCGUGCGGUUUAUUGGAGGCGACGUUUGGGAGAUCCUCACGAGAAGGACCGCGUUUUUCUACACUCGUUAAAUGCAGCAAUCAGAGCGGGUGGGCUCCCCAUUUCCUGGACAGGGAAACAGAGUCACGGGGCGGGGAGUCGUACCGCUCCUCUCCGAGGGAGCUGGGGAUCAACCAGGGCCUGCCCAGCUCUUUGUCUUGGCAGGAGGCGCGCACAGUGGGGAUUCCUUUUCUGCACUGCCCUUUUGGGGAAGAAAUUCCAAUAA
rnacentral:lncRNA from 1 species